GGAGUUAGCCGGGGCUUCCUCCCGGGUACCGUCACUUGCUUCGUCCCGGGGACAGGAGUUUACGACUCGAAAGCCUUCUUCCUCCACGCGGCGUUGCUGCGUCAGGGUUGCCCCCAUUGCGCAAAAUUCCCCA
rnacentral:rRNA from 1 species